AAAUCAUUUGUGAUGUUGUAUGCCUGGUAUAUGAUGUCAGCAAUCCCAAAUCCUUUGAAUACUGUGCCAGGAUUUUUAAGGAAAAAACUGGAAAUAAUCAAGAUGGCUAACAAUGGACGAUGAUUUACUGAACAACACUUUAUGGACAGCAGAAUACCUUGCUUAAUCGUAGCUGCAAAGUCAGACCUGCAUGAAGUUAAACAAGAAUACAGUAUUUCACCUACUGAUUUCUGCAGGAAACACAAAAUGCCUCCACCACAAGCCUUCACUUGCAAUACUGCUGAUGCCCCCAGUAAGGAUAUCUUUGUUAAAUUGACAACAAUGGCCAUGUAUCCGCACGUGACACAAGCUGACCUCAAGAGCUCCACGUUUUGGCUUCGAGCAAGUUUUGGUGCUACUGUUUUUGCAGUUUUGGGCUUUGCUAUGUACAAAGCAUUAUUGAAACAGCGAUGAUAUAAAAAGAAAUACUGUCCCUACCAAAAACAAAUACUUUUAUGUACAUUCUGAAUGCUUUAAGUUCUGCUAGAAUUAUUGAGAUAUUUAUACAUGCAGAGUUACUUUAUUAAUAUUUGUAAUUCAUGCAUAAGAGUAUUUUAAUGAUAGUUAUAACUGCAGUAUUGGCUAGCAUAUGGAAAGAAAACAGCUAACAGCCAAACUAAAAUGGCUAAAUUCCAGAGGCC
rnacentral:lncRNA from 10 species